rnacentral:lncRNA from 1 species
CACAACCACAUAUAAAUACAACUGUUAAAUUGUGAAAAAAUCAAACAUUUUAGUCAUUUUCUCCGAUCAACAUCUUUCUUUCCCUCUUCUGUUUCUCCUGGUACCUCUCUCCCCUCUCUGUCUCUUAUCAUUUCUCUGCAUGUAAAUUGCAAUUAUGUGAAUACACUUUGAUCAAUAGAUUGAUUCUUGUUCUUGAUUAGAACCGUGGGUUUGCUUUAGUUUUUAUGAUGUAAUCGAUGGUCGAUGAUGAGAAUGAUGGAUACUGUUUUAUUGCUAUAUGCUCUGUUUAUUUGCUAGAGAAAAUUUGUGACAGAAGAAUACAAUCAAUGAAAAUGAAAUUUCAUCUUUCUAAAAAUCUCAAAAUAUUAUCCAGAAGGUGGACCUUCAAGUUUAUUUUGUCUAAUUCAAAACAAACAAGCCGGUCAAAAUAAUCUUACUUUUUAACUCUGGUCUUAGUCAAUAAAUGAGUGCUUCCUCCGUUGAAAUUUAGACACUGGAAAAUUGUACUUACAAAAUUGUGGUCGGUUUAGUUUACAAAAAAAAAUUGUGUCGGUCCGCGACAAAACCAAGAUGAAAAGUCGUGUUUUAUAUCUUUCUACCUUAAUAUUUUAAGAUGUGAUCGGUCUUUGUGGGGAUUAAACUCACACCAUUUGUCUUCAGAAAUUUCUUUCUGGAUAUGUUUGGUGAAUCUCUCUCUCUCUCUCUUUCUCUACUU